rnacentral:rRNA from 1 species
GACGAACGCUGGCGGCGUGCUUAACACAUGCAAGUCGAACGGUGAAGCGCCUUCCUUUUUGGUGGGUGUGGAUGAGUGGCGAACGGGUGAGUAACACGUGAGUAACCUGCCCCCUUCUUCUGGAUAACCGCAUGAAAGUGUGGCUAAUACGGGAUAUUCUGGGUCUGUCGCAUGAUGGGUCUGGGAAAGAUAUUGUUUCGGUGGGGGAUGGGCUCGCGGCCUAUCAGCUUGUUGGUGGGGUGAUGGCCUACCAAGGCGGUGACGGGUAGCCGGCCUGAGAGGGUGGACGGUCACACUGGGACUGAGACACGGCCCAGACUCCUACGGGAGGCAGCAGUGGGGAAUAUUGCACAAUGGGCGCAAGCCUGAUGCAGCGACGCCGCGUGAGGGAUGGAGGCCUUCGGGUUGUGAACCUCUUUCGCCAGUGAAGCAGGCCUGCCUCGUUUGUGGGUGGGUUGACGGUAGCUGGAUAAGAAGCGCCGGCUAAGUACGUG